CUCGGCCCGCGCGCGCCAACUUUCCGGAGGGCCCGGCUCCAGGGCGAGUCCCGGGGGAGAGAACCCAGGGCGUUGGGCUCUCCGGACAGGAGCUGAUGUCGCAGCAGCAUCGUGGGCUGAUGUCAUCAGGGCCGGGGAAGACUUUGUGGGAAGGAGCGCUGCAGAGAGCACUGGGACUUCUGUCCGGACCAUUCCUGAGCCCCAGGACCACAGGGACAGGGAAUCAGACCCCUCACCUGCAUUGAGGCCAGCCGUCAGCCAGCCAAACGGAGGGGGCUCUCCUUGGAAGGGGCCUUGAGGGGCUUGAAGAGAAAGAAGAAAAACAGCAAAAGCAAAACCCCUGGGAAAGCCAGUCCGAAGGUCCACGGAAACCUCCCGGAAAUGCACGCAAGGGUCGGGUUCCCUCCGCAACCAAUUAAGGCUUCAGAAGACCUACCCACCCCCAGCCUUUCCCAGUGUCUUUGUCUUUCCUUCCCGACUAAUGGCUGUUUAAGCCAGUGUUGUCAGCUAAAUGCCGUCCCCCGGCCCUCCAGAGGCCACUCACCUUGGGCUGGCAGGGCCGGGCCACCGGUUUUCCCAUCUCUGGGCAAUUUAGCAACUGCUGGUUGAGAGAUGCUAAAUUAAUUAAAGAGGUAGUGGCAACGUGGAGUAAGGCUGAACAUCGAAAAUCAGCUUUUAAUUGAAAAAUGAAAUGCGUCUUCCCAGAGUCAGGCGCUGGCCCUGGGAUGCGGGGGUCUCAUUAGCACGGUGCUCGAUGGUUGAGGCUAAUGAAGUAGAUGACGUGGCGGAGAGCCACAGACCUGCCUUCCGCGACACUUCGUUCACGGACGUGUACGAUUGUUCAUGCCGUUGGGCUUAAACGUGGCCUUGGGGCUUGGAUGUCAGCCUGCAGGCUGCCCUGACCCUUCACACCACAGAAGGCAAGACCGUGAACUCCGCCAUAGCCUGCGGAGAGCCCUUGAGCCCAGUCCCGAGUCCCAGCUGGGGUGGGAGCCCUUCUAGCCGGCCUGCUGACUGCAGACCCUUUGCCCGACGCCUGCUCUGCCCUCCUUUGAGAGUGCUCCUUUUUGGGGAACCCACCAACCCCUUUGCACAAGGUCUGAUGGGACAUGGCCGGAGGUGCCCAGAGCCUUUCUCUCUGAGGAGAAGGCCGCCCGGCGUUCCUCCACC